AUUUUCGCUAAUUGGCAUUUGGCAGGCCACCCAGGCCACGCACUCGAGCAAGGACCUGGAAGCACGGCACCACGAGCAGCCGGCACUCCGCCAAAACAUUUUGUAAUUAAUCAUUUUCUGAUUUGGCAUUUGGACUUUCUCUCCCUCUCUCUUUCUUUGUUGGCAUUUUUCCGGCUAUUUGGCAUCGCUCGGCAUUUUACGCGCCGUUAAAGUUUAAUCGAAAAAGUAUUUUUGUGGCCAAUGAAAAUUCCAAUAACGAAAUGCCAAAUAGCGCCGCCGAGAGGCCAACAACAAAC
rnacentral:lncRNA from 1 species